UGCUGAUACCGGACCGCCGGUCGCAGAGCUCGUCGAUCCUUGGUGAUCGUCGCUGACGCGCCGGUGAGUAGGGAGGUCGCACUGGUUGCGUUGAAGGGUUUGGGCGUGAGCCUGCCUGGAGCGGCCAGUGGCGCAGAUCUUGGUGGUAGUAGCAAAUACUCGAGAGAGAUCCUUGAGGCCUGACGUGGGGAAGGGUUCCAUGUGAACAGUGGUUGGACAUGGGUCAGUCGGUCCUAAGCCCAACCUGAAAUGGUAGCACAAGACGAGCGUUGAACGAAAGAGACACAGUGUGUUGAUCGCAAAGCGUGAGGCUCGUGGCAAGGGCGAAAGGGAAUCCCGUUUUUAUUCGGGAACCUGGUUGGGGUAACGUUCGGAUCCUCGUAUCCGUCUCGGCAACGAGAAUUGGCCAUGGGAAGCUGGCGGGAGUGCCGGGAAGAGUUUUCUUUUCUGUGUAAGGGAGAUACAAACCCUGGAAUUCCUCCGCGGAGAGAUAGGGUUAAUCUUCCGAAGAGCGUUGCACUUGAGCGACGUCCGUGCAUUCUUGUCGGUCCUUGAAAACCAUGGUGAGGGCCACGUCUACUCCUCCCACCAGACCGUACCGAUAACCGCAUCAGGUCCCCAAGGUGAACAGCCUCUAGGCGAUAGAUGAAUGUAGGUAA
rnacentral:rRNA from 1 species